rnacentral:lncRNA from 1 species
ACAUGAAACCUUUCCUAAACAUACAUUUCUGAUGAACGGCUUAAUUCAAGGAGUAAAGGGUUUGUUGUCAUUCCUUAGUGCCCCGCUUAUUGGUGCUCUUUCUGAUGUUUGGGGCCGAAAAUCCUUCUUGCUGCUAACGGUGUUUUUCACAUGUGCCCCAAUUCCUUUAAUGAAGAUCAGCCCAUGGUGGUACUUUGCUGUUAUCUCUGUUUCUGGGGUUUUUGCAGUGACUUUUUCUGUGGUAUUUGCAUACGUAGCAGAUAUAACCCAAGAGCAUGAAAGAAGUAUGGCUUAUGGACUGGUAUGUAUGUUUAUUCUAUACCUUUUGUAUCUGCUGAGAAAUGCCUUGUUUUUAAGAUAAAUAUUAUUAUAAGGAGUGCAAACCUUUGCAUUACAAGAUUUUUGCGUAAAAUAUAUUUUGUAAUAAAAUCAUUCAUUAGACUACAUUUAAAAUUUUUUUGCGGUAU